UUCAGUUUGGAUAUUCUGAAUUAUUCGGAACGUAGCAUUUUCCGAUUAAGACAUGUGAUAUGCCGAUAUUAUUCAGGUUUUAGGAGCAUUCUUUGGACAUGCAUACAGCGCAUUCGGAAUAUGCGUCUCAAUCGGGGUUUUUACCGCAGUAUGGGACACACCGCCUCUUGUGGUGAGCUCUGUUUGUUGUAAACAAACCAACCGGCCAACAGUUUGCAAGGCUGGGAUAGAGAUGCACGACGGGCUGGUUGUGUAACGCACCCUUGCACAGUCAAAACGACAUGCUGGAGCAGGAAGGCAAACGAAGAAGAGGAACGAGAGGAGAGUUCAGGGUGGGCUAAAAAAAACAGAGCGUGCCCUCUAUUAUCCUGAGUGACGGGGACGACUCGGUGUGAUGCACCAAAAACACUCAGCAGUGCAGUAAACAUCAUGGAACAACCUAGAGGUGGCUCAAUCAAUCACACAUCAACUACAUCAUCGCCCCACAAGCUUAUUCACAAACCCUUCAGUGGCGCCUUAGAUAUCACGUCACUCAUUAACAAACAACGACAGCAGGAACAGAAGGAGACUAAUCGUACGGCAGACUGACAGCGAGGCAGACAGAUGAUACGAGGCUGAGAGCUGACGUGACAGACUGACAGCCCUCGCAGGUAAUGCAGCGGUAGUGGUAACCUGUGGCCUUGUCACCACACACCACACAUGGCUCAUCCUUCUCGAGGUAGCUGGG